UAACCGCAGCCGGGAGGCUGCGCUGAAUCCGCAGGAGUCAGCAGAGGCCAUAGUACGCGAGUACGGGACGCCGGAAAGCGGAAGGGC
rfam:Paenibacillus sp. 32O-W, complete genome.